GACGGAAGGUGCAAGCGUUGCUCGGAAUCACUGGGCGUAAAGGGUGCGUAGGCGGCCGUGCAAGUCUGGCGUGAAAGCCCCGGGCUCAGCCCGGGAAGUGCGCUCGAAACUGCGCGGCUCGAGUGCCGGAGGGGAGAGUGGAAUUCCUGGUGUAGCGGUGAAAUGCGUAGAUAUCUGGAGGAACACCGGUGGCGAAGGCGGCAUUCUGGACCGACAUUGACGCUGAGGAGCGAAAGCCAGGGGAGCAAAGCGGGG
rnacentral:rRNA from 1 species